GUUAAGUGUUAAUGAUAUUAAUCAUGUACCUGGAAAACGAAGAUUUACGCAGGUACAUUAUUGAAGACUCACAAGGGAAUGGAUACGCUAAUGAUAUGCUUAAAGUUGUACGAAUCACGGGUGGUUAUCACGAGGAAUAGAGCUCGAAGAGCGAGUCACAAGCUAGAUUGUACGGGAAUAACUGAAUAUGUAUUAUUAGUAAUCAGGGCUUAUGCUUUAUUUUUUUGUAAAAGAUACAUAUUAAAACGUACUUUCAAGUAAGUCAUGACGUUAAUAAUGAAAGAAA